rnacentral:rRNA from 1 species
GUCGAACCGUGCGAACGUUGUUCGGAAUCACUGGGCUUAAAGGGCGCGUAGGCGGCAGAUCAAGUCCGGGGUGAAAGCCCCCAGCUUAACUGGGGAAGUGCCUUGGAAACUGAUGUGCUUGAGGGAGGUAGGGGUCGAGGGAACUUCUGGUGGAGCGGUGAAAUGCGUUGAUAUCAGAAGGAACGCCGGUGGCGAAAGCGAUCGACUGGACCUUUUCUGACGCUGAGGCGCGAAAGCUAGGGGAGCAAACGGG